AGAGUUUGAUCAUGGCUCAGAAUGAACGUUGGCGGCGUGGAUUAGGCAUGCAAGUCGUGCGAUAACCCCGCAAGGGGGGAAAGCGGCGAAAGGGAGAGUAACGCGUGGGUACCUGCCCCUUGGUCCGGAAUAGCUGCGGGAAACUGCAGGUAAUGCCGGAUAAUAUCUCCGGAUCAAAGGUGUGAUUCCGCCUGGGGAUGAGUCUACAUCCUAUUAGCUAGUUGGUGGGGUAAUGGCCUACCAAGGCGAUGAUGGGUAGCGGGUGUGAGAGCACGACCCGCGUCAUUGGGACUGAGACACUGCCCAGACACCUACGGGUGGCUGCAGUCGAGAAUCUUCGGCAAUGGGCGCAAGCCUGACCGAGCGACGCCGCGUGCGGGAUGAAGGCCUUCGGGUUGUAAACCGCUGUCAGAGGGGAUGAAAUGCAGGUGGGUUCUCCCAUCUGUUUGACAUAGCCUCAGAGGAAGGACGGGCUAAGUUCGUGCCAGCAGCCGCGGUAAUUA
rnacentral:rRNA from 1 species